CCUCCGGGAGGCAGCAGUGGGGAAUCUUGGGCAAUGGGCGCAAGCCUGACCCAGCACCGCCGCGUGAAGGAAGAAGGCUUUCGGGUUGUAAACUUCUUUUGUCAGGGCCGAAGCAAGUGACGGUACCUGACGAAUAAGCCACGGCUAACUACGUGCCAGCAGCCGCGGUAAUACGUAGGUGGCAAGCGUUAUCCGGAUUUAUUGGUUGUACAGGGCGUGUAGGCGGUAAUGCAAGUCAGAUGUGAAAACUAUGGGCUCAACCCAUAGCCUGCAUUUGAAACUGUAUUUCUUGAGUGCUGGUGAGGCAAUCGGAAGUCCGUGUGUAGCGGGGAAAUGCGUAGAUAUACGGAGGAACACCAGUGGCGAAGGCGGAUUGCUGGACAGUAACGGACGCGGAGGCGCGAAAGCGUGGGGAGCAAACAGGAUUAGAUACCCCAGUAGUC
rnacentral:rRNA from 1 species